UGUAAGCGUAUACCAAAGUUGUUGCAGUUAAAACGCUCGUAGUCGGAAUUUGGCAGUUCCGGAUGUGUGCACGUCGUGUGCGCACUUCGCGGGGAUUGCUUUUGUGGUCUUGCGUAGGAUGAGGCACUUUUAUUAGUGAACGUCCUCACGCAACCACUUUUUACUGUGAGAAAAUCAGAGUGCUCAAAGCAGGCAUUUGCCGUGAAUGUAUUAGCAUGGAAUAAUAGAAUAGGACUUGGUUCUAUUUUGUUGGUUUGUUGGGACUGAGUAAUGAUUAAGAGGGACAGUUGGGGGCAUUUGUAUUUCGGUGCUAGAGGUGAAAUUCUUAUAUUACCGAAAGACAAACUGCUGCGAAAGCGUCUGCCAAGGAUGUUUUCAUUGA
rnacentral:rRNA from 1 species